rnacentral:rRNA from 1 species
AGUGAACGCUGGCGGCAGGCCUAAUACAUGCAAGUCGAACGGCAGCACAGUGGAGCUUGCUCCAUGGGUGGCGAGUGGCGGACGGGUGAGGAAUACAUGGGAAUCUGCCCAGUCGUGGGGGAUAACGUAGGGAAACUUACGCUAAUACCGCAUGCGCCCUUCGGGGGAAAGCCGGGGACCGUAAGGCCUGGCGCGAUUGGAUGAGCCCAUGUCGGAUUAGCUAGUUGGCGGGGUAACGGCCCACCAAGGCGACGAUCCGUAGCUGGUCUGAGAGGAUGAUCAGCCACACUGGAACUGAGACACGGCCCAGACUCCUACGGGAGGCAGCAGUAGGGAAUAUUGGACAAUGGGCGCAAGCCUGAUCCAGCCAUGCCGCGUGAGUGAAGAAGGCCCUCGGGUUGUAAAGCUCUUUUGUCCGGAAAGAAAAGCACUGGGUUAAUACCCCGGUGUCCUGACGGUACCGGAAGAAUAAGCACCGGCUAACUUCGUGCCAGCAG